rnacentral:rRNA from 1 species
UACGUAGGGGGCAAGCGUUAUCCGGAAUCACUGGGUGUAAAGGGAGCGUAGACGGCUGUGCAAGCCUGAAGUGAAAGGCGGGGGCCCAACCCCUGGACUGCUUUGGGAACUGUACGGCUGGAGUGCAGGAGAGGUAAGUGGAAUUCCUAGUGUAGCGGUGAAAUGCGUAGAUAUUAGGAGGAACACCAGUGGCGAAGGCAGCAUACCGGCGCGCAACUGACGCUCAUGCACGAAAGCGUGGGUAUCGAACAGG